rnacentral:lncRNA from 1 species
ACAGAUAAGGAUCCACUCAGAACUAUUGCCUUUUGUGGAUACAUUGCCCUCACUCCUUCUAAAGCAUAACACUCUCUCUCCAUCUUCCAAUUCUAACCUUGAAUUAAAUCCCCAUUAUACUAUAGCUUCCAACUAGCAUGUAACCCUCUCAUCUAAUUAAGAACUUAUUCGGGACAAGGACUUCCAUACUCCUGGUCCAAACAGUCAUAACCAGUAAAGAAGAACAUUUUCUCUGGGGAUGACAUUUUAUCCACGAAAAAUUAAAGAAUUUUUAACUUAUUGUAUUUCCUGCUUUAAUUGUAUCUGAUUCUGAUGGCUCCAUUAUUCUGUCUCCACUUUGUAUAAAUGUACACAUUCUGCAUUGCAGAGAAAUUAACUCAGACUCAGUUGGAAUUUGUGAUAAUUUGACUGAGACUGGAUGGGUUUAAAUUAACUUUCCUAUUAUCUAUGAAAAAAGAACUUUUGAAGAAAGUUAAUACUAUGAAAAUGGUUUCCUGAAGUUUAAUCUACCUAAGAAAAUAUAGCAAUUCUCAAGAACCUGGCAGCUACAAUUUGCAUAUAAAUGAUUAGUUCUCAAAUAUCUCAUAUGAAGUUAUCAAAGACGGUUCCAAAACCUUGUCAGCACUCAAAUAUUAGUUCAAGUUAGCCUAAAGAACUUACAAAAAUAAAAAUUAAAGAGCUCACCUAUAAUAACACAAGCUGUCCCCUUUCCCAAUUAUUUUCAAUUGGUAAAAGUGUUUUACAAAUUCACUUGUUCUCUACAUUGUUUGUUUUCAAGUCAUGUCUUGUGACCAUCUUUGCAAUUAGUGUAUGUAGCCUUUAGAAAGCAGGAGUUAGGUACUUUUAAAAAUUUUACUGAUACAUAACAAUUGUAUAUAUUUAAGGGGUACAUGUGAUUUUUUUUUUUUUUUGGUAGAGAUAGAGUUUCCCUAUGUUGCCCAGGCUGGUCUCAAAUUUCUAGCCUCAAGCAAUCCUCCUGCCUCAGGCUUCCAAAGUGCCAGGAUUACAGGCCAGAGUCACCAUCCCCAGCCCACAUGUGACAUUUUGAUGCACACAUACAAUGUAUAAUGAUUCAAUCUAGGUAACUGGAAUAUCCAUCAUCUCAAACAUUUAUCAUGUAUUUGUUAAGAACAUUCUCAUUUAUUAAGAACAGUCCAAAUCAUUUCUUAUGAGUGAUCUUGUUUGUUUUCACUUGUUUUAACCUAAGAAUUUGACUGAGAGACAAAGAUUCUAAUCAGGCUUUGCUUUUAAUGCAGUUAGAAUUCAGGCAUAUUAUUUUGUCCCUAAGCCUAUUUCCAGUAAAAAUAGAUAAAAUACCCAACUUACAUGCAGCGGUAGAAACAAAUGAUAUUAAGCAAAUGAAAGAAUUUAACACUGGACCUGGCAUAUUAGUAACAGCAUCAUGAGAGGAGUUUGCUUCUCUCCAUCCUUCCCUUGUACACUAUACAAGUCUCAGCAUCCACGUGCAAGAAAGAUGGUUGUACAGUGACUGACCCACAAGUGCCAGAUGCCUAUAUCUACCACCUGGUGGCUGGCUGUGUCUUCCCCGCUUCCCAGUUCAAGCCCUGUCCUGCCCCUUCUCUGUCCCAACCACGCCCUCUGGAAAGGACUCUCAAAGACUCAGAAGGGUCUUGGAGUCUUCGAGAAAGAACAAAUCAUAGGCUCUAGGACUAAAAUAUAAUGGCUAAAACAUAGUGAUACAAUCAUGGAGGAAUACCUGACAAAGCUCUU